GAAUUUCGCCAGAGCCGACCUCCUCCCCGGCAAUGGCGAAUAGAUCGGCCCCCUCCUCCUCCCUGGGGUCGAUCAGCAAAACGACACCCGCCGGACCUCCUCCCCCGGCGGGUGUUGUUU
rnacentral:sRNA from 1 species